CAUAUUUAGCGGGUGUGUAGCGGCCCUCGAGGUCCCGUGCUGCUAACGCUGUGCGGGGACAAACCUUGGGAGGUGUAGGGUUCCGCCUGGAGCCCUUUCACGCGCACAUGACUGAAUCCUUAUUCUACUCGUACCUCUUGUUCUCCUUCGGUGUGGGCAACCCGCCGCUGGAACCUACAAAAACAAUUGCAUAUAGCAUUACCUGUUCUGAUACAAACAAUCGUUA
rnacentral:misc_RNA from 1 species